rfam:Pantoea sp. AS1 25__len__192833, whole genome shotgun sequence.
CAUGAAACAUCUGCCGUUUUUCUUCGCUUUCUUUUUUACCUUCCCCUGACUGGGAGGCAAUUCGUCGUGUGAAAACGAAAGCGAAGACGAACAACAAAGCCUCCCAACCGGGAGGCUUUUUUAUU